rnacentral:misc_RNA from 3 species
UGUGGGAGCGAGCCUGCUCGCGAUGACGGACUGACAUUCAGGAUUGAUGUCGGCUGAUAAACCGCAAUCGCGAGCAGGCUCGCUCCCACA